GUUGUUUUGUAUAUAUGUUUUCUGAUGGUACCAGUCGGAGCAAUGCUAGAAACCUUUGGAGGAGAAUAUAAUUGUUUAUUUGGGGACAGUUUGUGGGAAGACCCAAAUUGCUGUACUGCUUAUACACAAGCUGAGUCACUUGAUAAGGAAGCCCAAGAAGAAGAUAUGCAUCUUUUUGCCCCUAUGGUGGCGCUGGUUCAGCAGAGGUGGAAGGGCUUCAGGCUGUGAGGAGGGGGCUGGGCUAUUGGUUGUUAGUGCUUAUGUAUGCAAUUUCUUAUUGUGAUUCUAGAUUUUAAUUAGGGGCUUUCUGAUUUUAAUUGGUUCAAUUUCACCUUGGAAGGGAGUUUGGCAUUUAAUAAAUUGAAUCAUGAUUAUACUAUGAGCUCAUUACUCCUUGAAAAAUAUUAACAAAAAAAAAAAAAAAGGCUGGACUACCUGAAAAUACAUAAUCAUCAAUUUCUAGCAUUGAUGAUUCAAUUGCUAGAAAUUAGUCAACCUUGAUUGUGCAGAAGCGUGGGCUUACUCUUCUAACAACAUGGUGAUAUGUAGAGUUUAAGAAAAUAAUAAGGCAUUGCAUGGCCUCUUUAUUUGAUAAUUUGGGUCUUAUUUGUCAAUUGAUGAUUCAUAAUAGUCAAUAAAAAAAGAAAAAGAAAAAAGAAGCAUAACUGUAAUUAUGAGGCAAGACCUAGUAGAACUAAAAGCUCUAAAGAGGAAUUUGACCUUGAGAGACUGAGACAACCCCUUGAUCCCAUUCUUAAAGAUGAGGGAAAACAAGUUUUAGAAUAAUGUGUCCACUACUCACACUACUGCCUUCAUUACUUCUGUGCUCUUCCUUCUAUCAUAAAUUUUUAUAAAAGAUCUCAAUUAUUUUUACUUUUCUUUCUGAUUUGGUGAGAAAUUACUUUUCCAUCCCUUUUACCCACAUUAACACUGCCUCAUUUUUCAAAAAUAUUUAUUUGUUUUAAAUUUCCUUGUAAAUCAAAUUUUCCAAACUUAGAUCUGUCCUACAUGAUCUGUCAUUUAUUUUUUGAUUUGAUUUUAGAUCAUAUAUAGGUUUUGGCCAGUCAAAUUGACUCUGGCAUUCUGGCCUAUUGAUUAAUUAUUGAUGGGAUUUGGAUGUUGAUUGUUGAAGAUUUGAAGUUUAAGAAAUUUUUAAACGUGGGAAAUUUUAUUGCAAAAUAGGGAACCUUUCUUCAGAAAUAGAUAGAUUAACAUUGCCAUAUGUAUAUGCUUUCUAUUCUUUUGGAUAAACAUCAUAUACAUUUAAAACUUAUGAGGUUCGUGAUGAUUGUUGUUUGUAGGUUAUAGUUGAAUUAGAUUGGCACAGAUAGAAAAGAAAAAUAAAUUAGAAUAUGUGAUUGCCAACACUCCACAUCAUUUAAGUGGUCAUGGAAGUAACAUAUGAGAGAAGCAUACUGUUUGUAUAUAUGAUUUGUGUGGGAUUGGGUACAAUGCUGGUGUCCAUAGAAAUUUUAAUGGGAUUUUGGAAUUGUGUUGAUAGAUCUCAUGUGCAUGAUUUGUACUCUUCUCUGUAUCUCAACCUGCACUAUAAAAUAUAUUUUCAAAAGUUAUAUGAGCCCUUAUGUAUUAUUUAUUUUUCUUAAACUUAAACAAUGGUUUUUUAAUUAAGGAAAAAUGAUAGAAUGAGAAGCUUUAUACAAGCCUCAAUGCUGGCAAACCACCGUUUUUGACAUUCUUAAUGUUCUGGUUCUCUAGUGGGUUUUUAAACAUACAUCAGGAAAUGAAACAACCAAAGAAACUUUGUUCAUAGAUGCUCUGGCUCUCAAUUAAUUCCCAAGCAUCUUUGUGUUUUCUAAUUUGGUGCUCCAUUUUACUAGACAUCAAUUAGUUCUUCUUACAGUCAUUAAGGAUGUCCUUGCUGUAAAUUAGAGUUAUGCUAAUAUAUUGUCUCUCAAGUUGUCAAUUUUUUUGUUUGGGGGGCGAGGGGUGUGCAGAUUGUUGUUGACACUGUGUCUCCUGCAAAUCAUGCUCAUGUAACUAGGCAAAUGCCAGUGAAUUGAGUGUUAUCUUCUGGAGGUAAAGAGGACUUGCCAAAUGAUUGCAGAAAUGGUGGUUGGUUCUGCUUCUGCUGAUAACUGUGCUGUCCUUUGAUGAGUUCAGCUGCUAAGUGGGGAAAGAGGCUUUUCAUAGGAUGUAUUCCAAUUGAAGCUACUAUUGAUAAUGUGCAGUUGCAUUUCAGAUGAAAGAAUGAUAUGUCAUAGGGGAUUUGAUUUUGUGACAUUUGUUGAUGAAAUUUUAGUUGAGUAUGCUUCUCAAAAAGUACAUAGGAUACUUGGGUAGAGGCGUGUCCUAGAUGUCAUCAUGAUAUGCCUCUUGUUGGCACUGGGACAUGCUUGGGCCUAAUAGGCACUCAUGUGGGUAGCCAGAGUAUCAAAGGAAAGAGCCUCAGAAAUUCCUUAUUAUCUCAGAGAAACUCAAGAAUUCUUGGAGAGGUCAAAAUAGAGGAAAGCAUAUGAAGAUUUUGAGAAAAGAUGUCAAGUUUAGGUUGAUGUUUAAAGGAAGUGCUGCAACUUUAUCCUAAACAGAGUUCUCCGUUGUAACUGGUUUGUGCCUCGUUUCAUCCUUCAUGACCUCUGGUUAAAAGUUUGCUAGUAGUUGGGUUUGUGAUUGUUUUGUUUGUAAAAACACGAUGUUGGGUAUGAUUAGCACCAAUCAAGUGCUGUAGUUUAGUCUAAAGACUUGCGUCUCUGUGUAGAUCUGGGUUGGGAUGAUAUAAAACUAUUUUCAUGCUGAGAAAGGAGUUUAUGUCAGGGCAGAUGCCUUUGUUGUAGUGGACUAGCUAAAGUCUCAGUGUUUGAAGUGUUUCUGUUUGUAUUGGUGUGUUUCAUAUCAAUAAUAAUUUUUGAAUUAUCCAAAA